GGAAACAUGAAAGAUUACUUGUUAGACUAUUUAAACGAUCUGUACUCUGACAUUUAACUUUUAGUUCAAAUUCACCGUUUCGAAAGUAUUUAGAUUUUUUAUGAUACUUUAUUAUUGAGUGACAAUAUGUGCACGCAUCAAACAUUUAAAGCAUACAGAAACUUGUAAACAUGCAGCAGUAGAUUAUAGACCACUACAAUAAAUUAUUCUAUGACCAAAAAAGCCCACAAAGUACUGCUGCUUCUUGGAUUGCUUCCCAGCCUGUUCUUAAAAUUUCUAUCCACCAUACCCAACAAGCAACAGGAUUUAAAACGGUGAAUUUACAAUCUUUAAACAUUUGCUUCCCACGAGAAAAUUUGAGCUGGAGUAACUGAAGAAAAUCAAUUACAGAAAUAUUUUGUGAUUGAAGUAAACGUACUUUAGAUAAUGGGUAACAGUGAAUCGUCAUCCGAUGAUGCUUACGACAAUUUUCCUUAUCGGCCCGCUUCUUAUGAAGGAUAUUCAGUAAACACUGGGUAUCGACAUCAAUCUCC